ensembl:lncRNA
CAUGACAACGUUCCAGCUGCAUGAGACGGGGAAGCUGGUGUGGUUUGAUCAAAAUGUUCAUGACAGUCUGUGGAAGUUUUGAUGGUAUCGGGGAGCUUUCUCUUUGAAACAGUUUCCAAAGUUGGAAAAUGAUAUGGAAGAAAAAGCACGGAAUACGACUAUUACAAAUGACUAUUAUUAAACCCAUGUUUGAUAAGACCUUGACUGGUAGGAGCUUUAGAGACAUCUUCACAAAGCAAUCUCACUUUAUCCGUAUCUGGAUGUGUAAAACCACAGAAGCAGCAGUGGAUGACACGAACAGUCCGGUUAAAGGGUUUACAAACAAAUGGAGUCGUGUUUGACCCACUUUGGCAGCGCGGGGAAGUUGAGAGAGAGAAGAGGAGCAUCUCCUGCGGCUGCAGCGAUGCUGCGCUCUACUGGAGCUCCGGAGGAAACACAGCGACACUCAUCACUCAAUCAUUAACAGCGGGAUCUGAUCAGCCAUCUGUUACGCACAUUACAAGAUUAAAUGAAUAGCUACCAAACAGCACAGAAAGCAACAAUAAUUUUAGUCAUUCUAGACACUAAAUUCAGUUGGAAGCUUAAUAACCAACUGUUCAUGUUUAUACUUGUGCCAAAGGACAUUUAUCGGGAAUGCAUGAAGCAGGUUAUUUUUUAUCUGGUUGUGGGAUUUAUAAUAUCCGAUGAAUUCAGGUUAAUUCAAGUUGACUAGUUUCCUAAAUCAAGUAGACAUUUUGAUAAAAGAAACGUAGAAAGGUAAAAACAUAAAUGAGCAUUUUAUAAAAUUUAGUUAGCCUCAUCAAUGUUUACCAGACUAUUGAAACUAAUUCCUGGAGGGGGGUUGGCACGGUAAAUGUACACCAAUACGAACCAAACUACUUCCUUUUCUUCUCAAUAUUUUCAUCCUGCAACAACUUAAUGCCCUGAAAACAUUUGACAAUUUUUAUUCAAGAACAUUUAGAUCAACAAUUAAAGUCAGAAAAGCAUCAGUCGAAGAGAAACAUAACUUAACAGGACUUUUCAUCAGAUGACCAGGUUCACGUCAUACAUGUUUUGGGGAUGUUUCAAUCGUUUUGACCUAAUAACAGUUUUUUUUGUGGUAUUUUUUACUGACUGGAACUUUUUUCAACAUACAGUGUUUCAAAACAUUUGGUAAGCAAUUUCUACAAGGAUAGAAGGCAAAAUUCCUAUUUUACCUCAAAUUUUAACAAUAGGCUUUAGCUGCCUUAUAAUGUUUAAAAUUGGAUUUAAAUUCCAACUUGGUGGAAAAUAUCCAUUACUCAGCAGUUUAAAAAAAACAACAAAAACAAACAGGAUUAGACAAACUAAAAAUGCCACGUCUACCAGAUAUGGACGGUAAUCAUUUUUAUGGGUAUAAAAUGGAUAUGAAUGUGACAACAAACUUUUGUUACAAGUGCAAGCCCAAAACAAACAUAUAAAUGACAUUUGUAAUAUAAAACUUGGUAAAAAAUACUAAUUUAAAACUGUACAAUCACCAAGUACACAGACUGAGCACAUCAACUGUUAUUCAUUUGGCUUUUUCUUGGCUUCCACUGCUUUAGGAGGGUUCUGCAAAAGGAAAAUAAACAUUUAAUUUAGUUAAAAACGGUGGAUUGAAAGAGCAUCUCCUUUGAAACAAACUUCUAGGUGAAUAACAAGAAUAGUUUUAACAAGUUAUUAUGAGGUUACGAGGCGCUUACCACAGCAGCCAGCCGCUUGGAAAAUCGUCUCUCCUAUUGACAUAGAGGGAGAAGAACUUUAGCACUGAUCACAGAAGGAACUCAUUUGCCGGAAAACCAAACUAAAGAGACUAUUCACAGCCGCGCAGUGGCCACCAAAUGUCUUGUAUUAGCAAAUAACUAAAUAAGAUUACAAUCAAGGAAACGUUUAACCACAGACCUCAAGUUAUCAAUGUGAAGAUUAUUAUUAUUAUAAAACUCUGGCAAUAUGAGUGCAUCAAUAUUUUAUGAAUAACAUCCCCAAGUUAUUUAUGGCAUUCAUACAAACCUCAGGGAGGACAGCUGCCUGCAAGACAAAGAAUAUAUAUAUAUUUUAAAAAAACAAUGUUUAAACUCCACCAUUAUCAUCCAUGACAACUCAGAUGCGAUCUAAUACUAAAGUCCCAGAUUUCUGCCGAUAUAAUCCGAAGAGAAUUUUAGGUGACAAAAGAAGUUCCCGCGCAUAUUUGAAUUCAAAUCGGGGCGUCCUGUCAGAGGAGCCGCGCGUUGGCGCCCUGACAGCUUCCUUUGUUUUGUCUGCCCGCGCGCAGACAGACAGCUGUUGGGAAACCGAUCAGAUCGAUCGCUUACUGCUCUGCUAACAUACGUGCACCAAAACAAGAGCACGGCUAGCAAACAGAUUUUAAGGUUGCAUUAAAAAAAAAGAAAGAAAAAAAGUACACAUUUCAGAUAGAUGCCAUUAAAAAAAAAAAAAAGUCAAAUAUUUAAUUUAAAUGAACCCCAGGUGCCGUUACAAGGUGGGAAACUGAGAUUCGCAGAAUACAUUUAUGAAUAAUUGAGAAAUUAUUUUCCCACAUCGAUGCAUUCGGUGGUUGAUGGGCACGUGUGACUAGUCGCGUUGAUGCGAGCCGACCUCGGUGCACGGAGGGCCCGCGCGGACCGAGUUCAACCCGGCGGACGAAAACACGCAAGAAAAACGUUUAAAACAACCAA